rnacentral:rRNA from 1 species
UUUAUCAAAAACAUGGCUCUUUGUACAAUUCAUAAAUAAAGAGUCGGACCUGCCCAGUGAAAGUAUUUAACGGCCGCGGUACCCUGACCGUGCAAAGGUAGCAUAAUCAUUUGCCUUAUAAUUGAAGGCUUGUAUGAAUGGUUUGACUAGAACAAAGCUGUCUCUUUGCAAUUUAAUAAAAUUUGAUUUUUAGGUGAAGAAGCCUAAAUUUAAUUAAAAGACAAGAAGACCCUAUCGAGCUUUAAAGAAAUUAGCAGAUUUAUUUAGAAUAUUUAUUUAGAAAAUUAAUUGUUAAAAAUUUUGGUUGGGGCGACUAAGGAACAAUUAAAGCUUCCUUAAUGUUUAAUAAUUUACAGAUAUUGAUCCAAGUUUUUUGAUUAAAGAAAUUAGUUACCGUAGGGAUAACAGCAUUAUCUUUUUUGAGAGUUCCUAUCGAAAAAAAGGUUUGUGACCUCGAUGUUGGACCAGAAUAUCCUAAAGAUGCAGAAGUCUUCGAGGGUUGGUCUGUUCGACCAUUAAAAUUCUACGUGAUCUGAGUUCAGACCGGCGUGAGCCAGGUCAGUUUCUAUCUUUAAUUUUUAUUCUAAGUUUAGUACGAAAGGACCAACUUAUAAUAUAGGAUAUUAUAGAUGAAAUAAUUUAAUAUUUUGGUGUCAGAUUAGCACAUUUAAUGCAAUUGAUUUAGGAUCAGUAGAUAUAGGUGAAAUUUCUGUAUCUGAUAUUAUUUAUAUAGAUAGCAGAUUGAGUGCAUUAGGUUU